CAGUAGCCACGGUAAUACGGAGGGUGCAAGCGUUAAUCGGAAUUACUGGGCGUAAAGCGCACGCAGGCGGUCUGACAAGUCAGAUGUGAAAUCCCCGGGCUUAACCUGGGAACUGCAUUUGAAACUGUCAGGCUGGAGUCUUGUAGAGGGGGGUGGAAUUCCAGGUGUAGCGGUGAAAUGCGUAGAGAUCUGGAGGAAUACCGGUGGCGAAGGCGGCCCCCUGGACAAAGACUGACGCUCAGGUGCGAAAGCGUGGGGAGCAAACAGGAUUAGAUACCCGCGUAGUCCCUGUCUCUUAUAC
rnacentral:rRNA from 1 species